rnacentral:antisense_RNA from 1 species
GGGGUGCGCACGCCAAGCCUGGGGCGGGGUGUUGUCUGCGCAGGCGCCGUGUGCGCAGGUGCCUGGCGUCCGCGUCGGCGCCGCAGGGUCUGGGUGCGGAGCGAUCUGGUGUGGCAGAUGUGGACAGCUGGACCCUCCUGGGUGCCUCUGCAUGAUGUCGUUUGGUUGAUGCGUUUGGAGAGAAUCUGUGCUCUCCAGACCUGCAGGGGCAACCUGCUUUCCUGGCCUCUUAAGAUGAGGGUGGCUGUUCUUGGGUGCUGCACCAAAACUCCAGCAGUGGGCUUUCUUCAAGUGGCAGGCUCACCUCAUUCCUGCCAAGACCCAGGUCCGUGUUCUCACAGUGCUGCCAUCUUUCCUCCGUGUGAGCGUGUGCUGUGCAGAGAGUGGACCUCUGCGUGUGCGGGGCUGCGUGCACUGCCAUCGGCUCCCUCCACACGAGCCGCCGUGGACCCAGGGCUGAGCUGUGACCACGAGGGCCAUCCCGACGAGCCACCGUGGACCCAGGGCUGAAAUGUAGAAGCGUCGGUGGAGCGAGGUCUUCGGACAGCUCUUAUUUCGGAGAAUGACAUUGUCUUCACGACUUCACCUUCCCCAUCCCUUCUAUAAACUGACAGGACGGGGUUGAUGGGGAGAGUCUAGGCAAAAGGAAGCUGACCCCAGUGACCAGCCCUAGUGGCCGCCCAGAGUCAAUGCUCUGGAACAGGACCGGGACCGGUGACCUGGAGACAGUGGCCGUUUCUGGAUGGGCUGCAGUCUCUGAAGGCUUCCUCCACUGGAUAGCCCCUUAGGAGUUUGCCCAGUGCCUCCAGAAAGCUCUUUUUUGGGGGACAGCGGACUCGGCCUGGAAUUCUGGAAUUCCCAGGGGGUCGGACAUGGUUAUGAGAAGUUUAAUAAAACCGGCGAAUCACAUGAA